ACGCCGGACGCCAAGUGAUGAGAAAAGCUCACUUGGCCCUUCGGGCCAGGUGAGCUAAAAAUACAUUAACUGACAAAUUCAUUAUUCGUCGUUUUGACUCGAACUCUGAUAAGGUAUAUAACUAUCUCACAAGUUUUAAACAACACAUGAGAUCAUAUAGUAUCAAAAUAUUUGCUUAUAUAUAUUUUUUCAAUUUGAUUUCUGUUUGAUAGUUGCUUAUCAUUUGACAUAAAAGCUAACAUGAGCUGUAAUAUUCAAAUUGUGAUAAAUCUCUUCCUAUUAAACAGGGAGUUAAAACCAAAGAAAUAAGAAAUAAAAGAUCCUGCAAACCUUGUAGUGACAUAAUAGAUGGUAAAUGACAACUCCUUUUAAAUUGUCCCUUAUACAAAACAGUUAAGAAUGGUUUGAUAUUUACAAGAAUUUGAUUAGGGAGAAAAAUAUUCAAUCGGUUAUACAUUUUCUUAAUCUGGAUAAUCGUUAAAAGCCCGACAAAUAUUUCAUAACACAGUUUUAUUUUCUCUCAAUCGAAUUAUAACUAUUGAACAGCGGUAUCACAACAAACUAGUAAAAGUCUGAAAUAUCUGUACUCAACUGUACUGAAUUUUACUCAACCAGUCUGAAUUGGUCUGAAAUUUACUAGAUAAAACUCGACUGUAGUCUUAACCAUACUUCAUAGUCUGAACUUGUAUGUAACCAGUUUAAAUGCGUCUAAACCAUUCCUUACCUAGUCUGAACCAUACUCGACAUAGUCUGAACCAUACUUGACCUAGUCUAAACCAUACUCGACAUAGUCUGAACCAUCCUCGACCUCGUCUGAACAAUAUUCGAUCAGGUUUUAACCAACUUAGACCUAUAUUUUUGUAUCUAUACAUUGUACUUUUUUCAAUUUAGGAAGUGGAAAUUUAGACAACAAUUACAAUUAUAAAUUAAUUUUAUUUAGCAUUUAAACCAAAUUUCACAAUAAACAUUAUCUUACCGUAACACCAUAUAUAUAACAUUUAAAAAAAGAUAAAA
rnacentral:lncRNA from 1 species